rnacentral:lncRNA from 1 species
GGCUCCCGCCGCGCGGCCGCUCGGCCCCGCCACCGCCGCCGCUGCUGCUGCUGCCGCCGCCGCGCCCGCCGCCGCCGCCAUCCUCCGCCGCCGCCGCUGAGCCCUGUGGGGGGCAACGGCGGCAGCAACGCCGCCGAGGCCGCUCGCUCGCCCGCGGGGCGCCGUGCUUGUGCCGCGGGAGGCGGGAGGGGGCGGUCACCCCGGCGCAGCCGCUCCUCUACCGUGUCGCCAUACUGGGGGCGGCACCAGCGGGCGGGAUGGGGAGCGGUUACAGCGGCAGCGGCCGCCGCCUCUCCUGCCGCCCCCCCCUUCCCCGCCCGGCGGGGGACCGGCCCCCGGCGGCACGGCGCGACGGGCCCGGCCCGCCGCCUCACCCCGCCCUCUGCUCCUCUCCUCACGCAAGAUCAGCACCCAACAAUGCCAGCUGAAUGUGGAUUCAGAGUUUCGGGAGGACUGUUGAUCGCCUCAGCUCCCUUUACUUCUGCCGAGGGAAAUCAGGAUAGUCUUUCAAGGUGUACAGCAUCAUGUGCCACCAGAGCAAAAGGAAGAUGCAUUUGUGAAAGCCUAUAAAUAAAAGCUUUACAAAAUAGGUGAGACUUCUACACUUACGUGAGCCUCUGCUUCUCUCUGCAGUAGACAUAUCUCUUAUGUGCCCAAAAGAUGGGUGAGGUGAAUGAGGUAAAUGCUGAGCUGUGAAUUCCUGAGCCACCCAGCCUGUUACUAAUUACCAUGAUUAAAUAUUGACACAGUGACUGCACACAGGGCUCCCAGGCAGAGAUCAGUACCCUGCCAUGGCAGCAGCAGAGAAAUCCAAAGAAAUAGCUCCCUGAACACCUACACUGCAAGAACCCAAUCCAUCCUACCAUUAACGUCCCCUGGGGACUGCCAGCUUGUGUGAGAGCUUGCACAGCUCUAGCAAGGGGCUGCUGGGGCUCGGGAGGUUUCUGAUUCAAAACCAUUGCCUUUGGGAUGCCCCUUGCUGCAGUCUCCAGGAGCUGGUAGGGCGAGAGGGGUGAGGCAGUACAAUGGGAUCUGCUUCCCUGUG